AUGGGCAGGGCUUGUGCGCAAGAAUACUUUCUGCGCACGCCUAUCCUUAGGCAAGGCUUACGUGUGGGACAUGUUUUCCCUUAGUCGUGUGCUCCUCAGCCUCGCGAGAUGUCAUCCGCGUAAAUCCCCGCGGGUAUGCAAGUCGCUUGUUACGAACUAUUCACCGACGAGACACCACUCACACCGACACCCAAGGCUUUGCAGGCGAGCUCUUUUCUUCCCUCUCUAGGUGUCGGUUAGCCAACUUUCCUCUUCAGUUCUGUUGGCCACACGAAGCCUCCAACAGCCUGGAUGCAUUGCAUGUAAUCCAAGGGGCCAGAGGUUCUGCGAGAGAGAGAGAGAGAGAGAGAGAGAGAGAGAGAGAGAAUGAAAGCCGAGUGUUCUGGUGCGAGUUGAAAGUAGGAAAACAAGUGUGUUAAUGAGAAACGAGUCCUCUGAGCUUCUUUUGCAAUCAGAACAGAGCCGAGCCCAACUGUUCAGAAACUGCAGAUUCAACUCAAAAACCCUACUGAUACGACAAUCGCUGCAUAGGCGUGCUGCUAGUGGUUUUUCAUGGUUUUUAGGUCGAUUACUCGUGUGUUUGGACCAUUUAGACCUUCUGCUUUGAGGUACAAGCUUAGGCGGCUGCGUACGUAGAUAUGUAAAUAAUGUAACUUAAUUAGGCCUUUGGGUCUACAUCUCAAACUCUUCAACUUUAAUUUGACAUGACUAUUCCACAUGUUUAUCUCUCAAUAUCUUAAAAGAAUCAAAACUCUUUGUAAAUACUCUUGCAGUGGCUGUUAGAUCUCUCUACCUACUAUGAAAUUUAAU